rnacentral:rRNA from 1 species
GACGAACGCUGGCGGCGUGCUUAACACAUGCAAGUCGAACGGAAAGGCCCUGCUUGCAGGGUACUCGAGUGGCGAACGGGUGAGUAACACGUGGGUGAUCUGCCCUGCACUUCGGGAUAAGCCUGGGAAACGGGGCUUAUACCGGGUAGGGACCCAUUUUGAGUGUGUUGGUUGGAAGGUUUUUUCGGUGUAGGAUGAGCUCGCGGCCUAUCAGCUUGUUGGUGGGGUAAUGGCCUACCAAGGCGGCGACGGGUAGCCGGCCUGAGAGGGUGGACGGCCACAUUGAGACUGAGAUACGGCCCAGACUCCUACGGGAGGCAGCAGUGGGGAAGAUUGCACAAUGGGCGCAAGCCUGAUGCAGCGACGCCGCGUGGGGGAUGACGGCCUUCGGGUUGUAAACUCCUUUCGCUAGGGACGAAGCUUUUUGUGACGGUACCUAGAUAAGAAGCACCGGCUAACUACGUG